CUCAGAUUGAACGCUGGCGGCAUGCCUUACACAUGCAAGUCGAACGGUAACAGGCCUUCGGGCGCUGACGAGUGGCGAACGGGUGAGUAACGCAUCGGAACGUGCCCAGUCGUGGGGGAUAACGCAGCGAAAGCUGUGCUAAUACCGCAUACGAUCUGCGGAUGAAAGCGGGGGACCUUAGGGCCUCGCGCGAUUGGAGCGGCCGAUGUCAGAUUAGGUAGUUGGUGGGGUAAAGGCCCACCAAGCCAACGAUCUGUAGCUGGUCUGAGAGGACGACCAGCCACACUGGGACUGAGACACGGCCCAGACUCCUACGGGAGGCAGCAGUGGGGAAUUUUGGACAAUGGGCGCAAGCCUGAUCCAGCAAUGCCGCGUGCAGGAAGAAGGCCUUCGGGUUGUAAACUGCUUUUGUACGGAACGAAAAAGUCCGGGUUAAUACCCUGGGCCCAUGACGGUACCGUAAGAAUAAGCACCGGCUAACUACGUG
rnacentral:rRNA from 1 species